AAACAAUAAAAUUUCAGACCUUAAAAUUACUCUUUAACAGAAGUAAUAAUUUCUCUCAAAUGGCGUGCCAGCAGUCUCGGUUAUACGAUUAGAUUAAUAAAAUACAUAAAGUCUUCGUGAAAACUACAACAGUAAAAAAGUAGAAUUAUACUAAGUGAAAUUUAAAUAUUCUUUAACUAAAACACGAAGAAAAACAUAACUGAAGAAAGAGGAUUAGAUACCCUUCUACUAAUUAUUCAAAGGUAAUAAACGGAAAGCAUCAAACCUAAGAAAAUUGGCGGUCUUUCACCCACUCAGGGGGAUUUGCCACUUAAAUCGAUAACCCCCGAUUCAUAAACACCAACCUUUUUAACUUGUAUAUCGCCGAAAGGUAGAAAACAAAAUCAAUAAUUUCAGGUAAAAUACAGUUUAUAGGAGAGGAUGCAGGUUAAUCACAAAAAAGACUUUACAUUAACAUUUUUAAAUUAAUGAGGACCUGAAAGUAAAAAUUUUAUAAAAUAAAAACUUUAAAAGGCAAUCAAAGAUGCACAUAUCGCCCGUCACCCUAAAACUUAGGUAAGUCGUAACAAAGUAGAAGUUUCGGAAGAAGCCUCU
rnacentral:rRNA from 1 species